UACAGAGGUGACAAACGUUGUCCGGAAUUAUUGGGCGUAAAGGGCGCGUAGGCGGACAGUUUAGUCAGAGGUGAAAGCCCAGGGCUCAACCUUGGAAUUGCCUUUGAUACUGGCUGUCUUGAGUACGGGAGAGGUGAGUGGAACUCCGAGUGUAGAGGUGAAAUUCGUAGAUAUUCGGAAGAACACCAGUGGCGAAGGCGACUCACUGGCCCGUUACUGACGCUGAGGCGCGAAAGCGUGGGGAGCAACAGGG
rnacentral:rRNA from 1 species